AUUAGAGUUUGAUCAUGGCUCAGAUUGAACGCUGGCGGCAGGCUUAACACAUGCAAGUCGAGCGGGGUGAUGGUGCUUGCACUAUCACUUAGCGGCGGACGGGUGAGUAAUGCUUAGGAAUCUGCCUAUUAGUGGGGGACAACAUUUCGAAAGGAAUGCUAAUACCGCAUACGCCCUACGGGGGAAAGCAGGGGACCUUCGGGCCUUGCGCGAUUGGAUGAACCCAGGUGGGAUUAGCUAGUUGGUGAGGUAAUGGCUCACCAAGGCGACGAUCUCUAACUGGUUUGAGAGAAUGACCAGUCACACUGGAACUGAGACACGGUCCAGACUCCUACGGGAGGCAGCAGUGGGGAAUAUUGCACAAUGGGCGCAAGCCUGAUGCAGCCAUGCCGCGUGUGUGAAGAAGGCCUUCGGGUUGUAAAGCACUUUCAGCGGGGAGGAAGGGCCACUAGUUAAUACCUAGUGGCAUUGACGUUACUCGCAGAAGAAGCACCGGCUAACUCCGUGCCAGCAGCCGCGGUAAUACGGAGGGUGCAAGCGUUAAUCGGAAUUACUGGGCGUAAAGCGCGCGUAGGCGGCUAAUUAAGUCAAAUGUGAAAUCCCCGAGCUUAACUUGGGAAUUGCAUUCGAUACUGGUUAGCUAGAGUGUGGGAGAGGAUGGUAGAAUUCCAGGUGUAGCGGUGAAAUGCGUAGAGAUCUGGAGGAAUACCGAUGGCGAAGGCAGCCAUCUGGCCUAACACUGACGCUGAGGUGCGAAAGCAUGGGGAGCAAACAGGAUUAGAUACCCUGGUAGUCCAUGCCGUAAACGAUGUCUACUAGCCGUUGGGGCCUUUGAGGCUUUAGUGGCGCAGCUAACGCGAUAAGUAGACCGCCUGGGGAGUACGGUCGCAAGACUAAAACUCAAAUGAAUUGACGGGGGCCCGCACAAGCGGUGGAGCAUGUGGUUUAAUUCGAUGCAACGCGAAGAACCUUACCUGGCCUUGACAUACUAGAAACUUUCCAGAGAUGGAUUGGUGCCUUCGGGAAUCUAGAUACAGGUGCUGCAUGGCUGUCGUCAGCUCGUGUCGUGAGAUGUUGGGUUAAGUCCCGCAACGAGCGCAACCCUUUUCCUUACUUGCCAGCAUUUCGGAUGGGAACUUUAAGGAUACUGCCAGUGACAAACUGGAGGAAGGCGGGGACGACGUCAAGUCAUCAUGGCCCUUACGGCCAGGGCUACACACGUGCUACAAUGGUCGGUACAAAGGGUUGCUACACAGCGAUGUGAUGCUAAUCUCAAAAAGCCGAUCGUAGUCCGGAUUGGAGUCUGCAACUCGACUCCAUGAAGUCGGAAUCGCUAGUAAUCGCGGAUCAGAAUGCCGCGGUGAAUACGUUCCCGGGCCUUGUACACACCGCCCGUCACACCAUGGGAGUGGGUUGCAAAAGAAGUAGGUAGCUUAACCUUCGGGAGGGCGCUUACCACUUUGUGAUUCAUGACUGGGGUGAAGUCGUAACAAGGUAACCGUAGAAUC
rnacentral:rRNA from 1 species